rnacentral:rRNA from 1 species
CCUACGGGAGGCUGCAGUGAGGAAUAUUGGUCAAUGGGCGGAAGCCUGAACCAGCCAAGUCGCGUGAGGGAAUAAGGCCCUACGGGUCGUAAACCUCUUUUGCCGGGGAGCAAGGGCGGGGACGUGUCCCGGCCCGGAGAGUACCCGGAGAAAAAGCAUCGGCUAACUCCGUGCCAGCCGCCGCGGUCAUACGGGGGAGACGAGCGUUAUCCGGAUUUAUUUGGUUUGAAGGGUGCGUAGGCUGGCUUUUAAGUCAGCGGUAAAAAUUCGGGGCUCAAACACUGCCUGACGAUGAAACUGGGGGCCUUGAGUGGGCGAGAAGAAGGCGGAAUGCGUGGGGUAGCGGUGAAAUGCAUAGAGAUCACGCAGAACCCCGAUUGCGAAGGCAGCCUUCCGGCGCCCUACUGACGCUGAGGCACGAAAGUGCGGGGAUCGAACAGGAUUAGAUACCCGAGUAGUC